GGGUUGUGAGGUUAAGCGACUAAGCGUACACGGUGGAUGCCCUGGCAGUCAGAGGCGAUGAAGGACGUGCUAAUCUGCGAAAAGCGUCGGUAAGGUGAUAUGAACCGUUAUAACCGGCGAUGUCCGAAUGGGGAAACCCAGUGCAAUUCGUUGCACUAUCGUUAACUGAAUACAUAGGUUAACGAGGCGAACCGGGGGAACUGAAACAUCUAAGUACCCCGAGGAAAAGAAAUCAACCGAGAUUCCCCCAGUAGCGGCGAGCGAACGGGGAGCAGCCCAGAGUCUGAAUCAGCUUGUGUGUUAGUGGAACGGUCUGGAAAGUCCGACGGUACAGGGUGAUAGUCCCGUACACCAAAAUGCACAGGCUGUGAACUCGAAGAGUAGGGCGGGACACGUGGUAUCCUGUCUGAAUAUGGGGGGACCAUCCUCCAAGGCUAAAUACUCCUGACUGACCGAUAGUGAACCAGUACCGUGAGGGAAAGGCGAAAAGAACCCCGGCGAGGGGAGUGAAAAAGAACCUGAAACCGUGUACGUACAAGCAGUGGGAGCACCUUCGGGUGUGACUGCGUACCUUUUGUAUAAUGGGUCAGCGACUUAUAUUCUGUAGCAAGGUUAACCGUAUAGGGGAGCCGCAGGGAAACCGAGUCUUAACUGGGCGUUAAGUUGCAGGGUAUAGACCCGAAACCCGGUGAUCUAGCCAUGGGCAGGUUGAAGGUUGGGUAACACUAACUGGAGGACCGAACCGACUAAUGUUGAAAAAUUAGCGGAUGACUUGUGGCUGGGGGUGAAAGGCCAAUCAAACCGGGAGAUAGCUGGUUCUCCCCGAAAGCUAUUUAGGUAGCGCCUCGUGAACUCAUCUUCGGGGGUAGAGCACUGUUUCGGCUAGGGGGUCAUCCCGACUUACCAACCCGAUGCAAACUACGAAUACCGAAGAAUGUUAUCACGGGAGACACACGGCGGGUGCUAACGUCCGUCGUGAAGAGGGAAACAACCCAGACCGCCAGCUAAGGUCCCAAAGUCACAGUUAAGUGGGAAACGAUGUGGGAAGGCACAGACAGCCAGGAUGUUGGCUUAGAAGCAGCCAUCAUUUAAAGAAAGCGUAAUAGCUCACUGGUCGAGUCGGCCUGCGCGGAAGAUGUAACGGGGCUAAACUGUGCACCGAAGCUGCGGCAGCGACACUAUGUGUUGUUGGGUAGGGGAGCGUUCUGUAAGCCUGCGAAGGUGGCCUGUGAGGGUUGCUGGAGGUAUCAGAAGUGCGAAUGCUGACAUAAGUAACGAUAAUGCGGGUGAAAAGCCCGCACGCCGGAAGACCAAGGGUUCCUGUCCAACGUUAAUCGGGGCAGGGUGAGUCGACCCCUAAGGCGAGGCCGAAAGGCGUAGUCGAUGGGAAACAGGUUAAUAUUCCUGUACUUGGUGUUACUGCGAAGGGGGGACGGAGAAGGCUAUGUUAGCCGGGCGACGGUUGUCCCGGUUUAAGCAUGUAGGCGGAGGUUCCAGGUAAAUCCGGUACCUUUUUAACGCUGAGGUGUGAUGACGAGGCACUACGGUGCUGAAGUAACAAAUGCCCUGCUUCCAGGAAAAGCCUCUAAGCAUCAGGUAACAUUGAAUCGUACCCCAAACCGACACAGGUGGUCAGGUAGAGAAUACCAAGGCGCUUGAGAGAACUCGGGUGAAGGAACUAGGCAAAAUGGUGCCGUAACUUCGGGAGAAGGCACGCUGAUAUGUAGGUGAAGCCCCUGCGGGUGGAGCUGAAAUCAGUCGAAGAUACCAGCUGGCUGCAACUGUUUAUUAAAAACACAGCACUGUGCAAACACGAAAGUGGACGUAUACGGUGUGACGCCUGCCCGGUGCCGGAAGGUUAAUUGAUGGGGUUAUCCGUAAGGAGAAGCUCUUGAUCGAAGCCCCGGUAAACGGCGGCCGUAACUAUAACGGUCCUAAGGUAGCGAAAUUCCUUGUCGGGUAAGUUCCGACCUGCACGAAUGGCGUAAUGAUGGCCAGGCUGUCUCCACCCGAGACUCAGUGAAAUUGAACUCGCUGUGAAGAUGCAGUGUACCCGCGGCAAGACGGAAAGACCCCGUGAACCUUUACUAUAGCUUGACACUGAACAUUGAGCCUUGAUGUGUAGGAUAGGUGGGAGGCUUUGAAGCGUGGACGCCAGUCUGCGUGGAGCCAACCUUGAAAUACCACCCUUUAAUGUUUGAUGUUCUAACGUUGGCCCCUGACCGGGGUUGCGGACAGUGUCUGGUGGGUAGUUUGACUGGGGCGGUCUCCUCCCAAAGAGUAACGGAGGAGCACGAAGGUUAGCUAAUCCUGGUCGGACAUCAGGAGGUUAGUGCAAUGGCAUAAGCUAGCUUGACUGCGAGCGUGACGGCGCGAGCAGGUGCGAAAGCAGGUCAUAGUGAUCCGGUGGUUCUGAAUGGAAGGGCCAUCGCUCAACGGAUAAAAGGUACUCCGGGGAUAACAGGCUGAUACCGCCCAAGAGUUCAUAUCGACGGCGGUGUUUGGCACCUCGAUGUCGGCUCAUCACAUCCUGGGGCUGAAGUAGGUCCCAAGGGUAUGGCUGUUCGCCAUUUAAAGUGGUACGCGAGCUGGGUUUAGAACGUCGUGAGCCAGUUCGGUCCCUAUCUGCCGUGGGCGCUGGAGAAUUGAGGGGGGCUGCUCCUAGUACGAGAGGACCGGAGUGGACGCAUCACUGGUGUUCGGGUUGUCAUGCCAAUGGCAUUGCCCGGUAGCUAAAUGCGGAAGAGAUAAGUGCUGAAAGCAUCUAAGCACGAAACUUGCCCCGAGAUGAGUUCUCCCUGAGACUUUAAGUCUCCUGAAGGAACGUUAAAGACGAUGACGUUGAUAGGUCGGGUGUGUAAGCGUAGCGAUACGUUGAGCUAACCGAUACUAAUGAACCGUGAGGCUUAACCUUACAACGCCGAAGGUGUUU
rnacentral:rRNA from 1 species